rnacentral:rRNA from 1 species
CACGUAGGGUGCGAGCGUUGUCCGGAAUUAUUGGGCGUAAAGAGCUCGUAGGCGGUGUGUCGCGUCGGCCGUGAAAACCUGCAGCUUAACUGUGGGCGUGCGGUCGAUACGGGCAUCACUGGAGUUCGGCAGGGGAGACUGGAAUUCCUGGUGUAGCGGUGAAAUGCGCAGAUAUCAGGAGGAACACCGGUGGCGAAGGCGGG